rnacentral:rRNA from 1 species
UACAGAGGGUGCAAGCGUUGUUCGGAAUUAUUGGGCGUAAAGCGCGUGUAGGCGGCUUUGCAAGUCGGGUGUGAAAGCCCUCGGCUCAACCGAGGAAGUGCGCCCGAAACUGCAGAGCUUGAGUACCGGAGAGGAUGGCGGAAUUCCCCAAGUAGCGGUGGAAUGCGUAGAGAUCCGGAAGAACACCGGUGGCGAAGGCGGCCUGCUGGGCAGUAGCUGACGCUGAUGCGCGACAGCGUGAGGAGCAAACAGGG